UACGUAGGGUGCAAGCGUUGUUCGGAAUCACUGGGCGUAAAGCGCACGUAGGCGGCUUUUUAAGUCAGGGGUGAAAUCCUGGAGCUCAACUCCAGAACUGCCUUUGAUACUGAGAAGCUUGAGUCCGGGAGAGGUGAGUGGAACUGCGAGUGUAGAGGUGAAAUUCGUAGAUAUUCGCAAGAACACCAGUGGCGAAGGCGGCUCACUGGCCCGGUACUGACGCUGAGGUGCGAAAGCGUGGGGAGCAAACAGG
rnacentral:rRNA from 1 species